rnacentral:rRNA from 1 species
AUUGAACGCUGGCGGCAGGCCUAACACAUGCAAGUCGAACGGCAGCGGGGGAUAGCUUGCUAUCCUGCCGGCGAGUGGCGGACGGGUGAGUAAUGCAUGGGGAGCUGCCCAGUCGAGGGGGAUAGCAACUGGAAACGGUUGCUAAUACCGCAUACGCCCUAAGGGGGAAAGGUGGGGAACUUCGGUCCUACCGCGAUUGGAUGCGCCCAUGUGGGAUUAGCUAGUUGGUGAGGUAACGGCUCACCAAGGCGACGAUCUCUAGCUGGUCUGAGAGGAUGACCAGCCACACUGGAACUGAGACACGGUCCAGACUCCUACGGGAGGCAGCAGUGGGGAAUAUUGCACAAUGGGGGAAACCCUGAUGCAGCCAUGCCGCGUGUGUGAAGAAGGCCUUCGGGUUGUAAAGCACUUUCAGUCAGGAGGAAGGUGAUAAGGCUAAUAUCCUUAUCAAUUGACGUUACUGACAGAAUAAGCACCGGCUAACUCUGUGCCAGCCGCCGCGGUAA